UUGACCUCGGAUCAGGUGGGGAUACCCGCUGAACUUAAGCAUAUCAAUAAGCGGAGGAAAAGAAACCAACAGGGAUUGCCCUAGUAACGGCGAGUGAAGCGGCAAAAGCUCAGAUUUGAAAUCUGGCGUCUUCGGCGUCCGAGUUGUAAUCUGUAGAGGAUGCUUUUGGGUAGCCACCGGUCUAAGUCCUCUGGAACGGGGCGUCAUAGAGGGUGAGAAUCCCGUAUGUGACCGGAAGGGCGCCCUACACAUAGCUCCUUCGACGAGUCGAGUUGUUUGGGAAUGCAGCUCUAAAUGGGAGGUAAAUUCCUUCUAAGGCUAAAUACCGGCCAGAGACCGAUAGCGCACAAGUAGAGUGAUCGAAAGAUGAAAAGCACUUUGGAAAGAGAGUUAAAAAGCACGUGAAAUUGUUGAAAGGGAAGCGCUUGCAACCAGACUUGUUGGCAGUGUUCCGCCGGUCUUCUGACCGGUCUACUCACUGUCUGCAGGCCAGCAUCAUCUGGGGCCGCCGGAUAAAAGCUUUGGGAAUGUGGCUCCCUCGGGAGUGUUAUAGCCCUUUGCGUAAUACGGCGUGUCUCGGGUGAGGUCCGCGCUUCGGCUAGGAUGCUGGCGUAAUGGUCGUAAGCGGCCCGUCUUGAAACACGGACCAAGGAGUCUAACAUCUAUGCGAGUGUUCGGGUGUCAAACCCCUACGCGUAAUGAAAGUGAACGGAGGUGGGAACCUUAGGGUGCACCAUCGACCGAUCCUGAUGUCUUCGGAUGGAUUUGAGUAAGAGCAUAGCUGUUGGGACCCGAAAGAUGGUGAACUAUGCCUGGAUAGGGUGAAGCCAGAGGAAACUCUGGUGGAGGCUCGCAGCGGUUCUGACGUGCAAAUCGAUCGUCAAAUUUGGGUAUAGGGGCGAAAGACUAAUCGA
rnacentral:rRNA from 1 species